UUCCCCUAGUAACGGCGAGAAGUGGGAGCCCAGCGCCGAAUCUGCGGCAGGCCGUCGAACUGUGGCGUUUGAGGCAAGGGAGGUGUGGAGUGACGUUCAAGUCCUCUUGAACGGGGCUUUUCAGUGGGUGUUAGGCCUGUGGAGCGUCACUUUUCAUCUCUAUGCCCUCGGGAGUCGGGUUGUUUGUGAAUGCAGCCCAAAGUGGGUGGUAAACUCCAUCUCUAAAUACUGUCAGGAGUCCGAUAGCAAACAAGUACUGUGAAGGAAAGUUGAAAAGCACUUUGGAGAGAGAGUUCAAGAGUACGUGAAACCGUUGAGAGGCAAACGGAGAGGUCUGAAAUUGGCGCCGGGGGAUUCAGCCGUUCUGGCUGGUCGAUCGCAGGUCUCCUGGUUCACUUUGGGUGGGUGCACUUUCCGCGCGUGGCGGCGACGUGUUUGCGCUCACGAAGAGCGUCAAGGUAGAUUUGUACGCCUCGGAUUGUUAUAGCCCGUGGGUUGAGCGGCAGACAGAGGACUUGCAGUGCCCGGGGUGGUACGACUGGGCGGUGGCUUGGACGGCUUGCUCGUGUUGGCUGCCGUAGUUGGUGCGUUGAAGGCACUUAAGGUCGGCCGUGCUUUAAUYGGAAACCUAUCCGACCCGUCUUGAAACCCGGACCAAGGAGUCUAACAUGUGSGCAAGUCAGKGAGUGUGUCAAAGCUCAGGGCAGAAUGAAAGUGAAUYUYUUUAGCGGUGGGAUGCGUUCGGCGCCGCACCACCGGCUCGCAUCAAGACUCGUUCUAGGUGCGACGCAAGAGCGUACACGUUGGUACCCGAAAGAUGGUGAACUAUGCCUGAGCAGGUUGAAGUCAGAGGAAACUCUGAUGGAGGACCGUAGCGGUUCUGACGUGCAAAUCGAUCGUCUGACUUGGGUAUA
rnacentral:rRNA from 1 species